rnacentral:lncRNA from 1 species
UAUAUAAUUUUCUUCUUGUCCUGUAUUCAAAAGUAUUAGAUAUUCUUUUUCAUUUAUUUUUCCUGUUAUGUAAUAUUGGUUUAAAUUACUUAUUGAGUUUGUUUCAUAACUUGUUCUUUUUGAUGAGCUUGAUGACUCUGGCUUUUCAUUAGCUAUUCUUUUCGUUGUACUUAUUCUAUCAUUUACUAUUUCUAAAUUUUCUUCUGUAUCUAUGUCUCUAUAGGUAUAAUCAUUAUAAUCUAUUGUUUUUACUAUUUGUUCGAAUGGGCUUUCUAUUUGUAUUUUGUUAAUCUUAUUUUUUCCUGUUAUUUUAUGUUUUGUUGUUAAUACAUAUAGGUUUUUACAUCUUGCUGUAAAUAUUUUACUUCCUGGGGUUAACUCUAUUCCUGAUAUUUUCCAAUAUAAUACUAAUGAUUUAUCUAUAUUCCUAUCUGUUACUGCUACUGAAUAAUUUGCACUUAUUAUAAAUUUAAAUUUUUGGUAUAUUAGAUUUCCUUUUACGGCAGUUAUUAUGCUUUUUUCUAUAGGUUUUAUAAUUCUAUCGUCUGCUAAAUAUAAUUCUAUUGGUGUAUCUAUUCCUUCUCUAAAACAUGCUUUUAUUAAUAUCUCUGUACCUCCAAGGUGUACAUAUUUUAUUGGAUCUCCUUUACUUUUUAUAUCAUUUAUUUCUUUAUUAAUUAUUCUUUUUGUUACUAGUGGUAUACUAGCUUUUCCUUUUGCAUAUCUGCAAUCUAUUACAUGUUCUUUUUGGCAUACUACAUAAUAUUCAUCUUUUUUCCUAGUAAAAAUAUUUUUUAUUGUUGGUAUUUUAAAUAUUUUGUCUACACUUAAAUCUAAUUCUUUUCCUUUUAUUUCAUCAAAUAUAUUACUGUCAAAUAUUAUUUUUUGUUCCGUUCCUUCAUCAUUUAAAUAUUCUUCCUUUGUUAUUAUUUUUAUAUCUUCUUCAGUCAUUUGAUUCAUCUAUUUCGCUAUCUAGUUCAUUAUCUGUUUCAUUUUCUGAAAUUUCAUAUAUACUAUCUUCACUUUCUAAUUCAUAAUCUAUAUAAUCUAUCUGCAUGUAUUCGGUAUUUUCUAUUUUUAUUUCUGAUAUUUGUUUAUUUUUUGGAUUUUUAGGUAAUUUACAAUCUCUAGCUAAAUGUCCUAACUUUCCACAAUUAUAACAAGUACAUUCUUUUAUAGAUUUCUUUUUUCUAUAUGGUCUUUUAUGUUUAUAAUUUUUUACAUAGUAUCUUUUUCUUGGUUUUUUAUAUUUAUAUUUUGAUUUUUUAUAUUUCUUAUAUUUCUUAUGUCUUUUUCUUUUCUUAUAAUAUCUUUCUUCGCAUCCAAAUUGGGGUGCUAUUUUAUUUUUGCAACAAGCUAAAUUUCUUAUUAAUGUUUUUUCCAUUUUUAAUUCUUCUCUAUAUUUUUCACAUAAGUUUCUAUACCAUUGUUGUAAAUAUUUUAUUCUUGCUCCUAACGUAUCUACUAUUUUUGCUUCUUCCCAACUUUUUAUUAUUUUCGAACUAAAUGGCUCGGGUAAUUUAUUAAAAUAUAAUUUUCUUAUUUCUUUACUUUCUUCUAUACUAUAUGCUCCUUUGUAAUAAUAUUCUUUAAAUGCGCAAGUAUAUUCAUCUAUAUAACACAUAUUACAUAUUGCUAAUUUUAACAUUAAAUUUCUAUUUGUAUCUUUUUCUUCAUUUUGUUCUUCUUCGAUUGUUGUCGUACUACCAAAUUCAUCUUUUAUAGCUGUUUCAUAUUUUUUUAAUAAUUCUAUAGGUGUUAGUUUAGUUGUUGUCGAUGAUGUUCCUUCUAUAGGUUUAUUAGUUCUUAAUACUUUUUUGCUAUUUUCGGUUAGAUUUGCAAACCAUAGUUUUACUGAUCCUAUUAGUGUUUUUUCUAUAUAUUCCGGUGCAUCUGUUAUAUUUAUAUUAUUAUCUAAUAAUUGUUUUGUCAUAUAUCCUAUCCAUAAUUGUAUUGUUUUUUCUGUAUCUAUUACACAGUCUAGAUCUAAAAAGUUAUAAUUUUUAUUCACUAUUUGUUUUGGUAUCCAUUUAUCAUAUUCAUUAUAUUUUUUAAACUUAUUCUUAUAAUAUAUAGGUUUUCUUAUUUCUGUUGUUUUAGGUAUUAUAUUUUCAUUUUCUUUUUUAUCAAGAGUAUUUAUUUCUGUGUGGGUAUUUUCUAAGUUUUCCUCAUAAAUUUUUUGUUCUUCAUUGAUUUCUAAAUUUUUUGUAUUUGUUAAUAUUUCUGUGUAUGUUUCACUAUCUUCGGACUCAUAAUUAUCUGUCUCUUCAAUAUCUAUAUUAUUUAUUUCUAAUUCUUCAUUUUUUAUUUCUAAUUUUUCCUUAAAUUGAUUUAUCUCAUUUAGUAAUUUCUGUUCUCUAUCUUUUUCUUCUUUUUCUUUUUGUCUUUGUUCAUACAGUUCUUUUAACAUUUGUAAUUCUUUUUCUAAUUCAGCAAUUCUACUAUUUUUGGUUUCUUCUAUUUUUCGUAUUUCUUCCGUAGUUUGUUGUUUUAUUUUUUCUAUUUCUUUUUUCCUAUCUAUCUCUUCAUUUUCUUUUUCUAUUCUUACCAUUGCUGUUAAUUUAUCUUCUAAUUUUAAUUCUUCUUUUUCUAACAUUAGAUAUAAAUGUUCACCUAUUUUCUUAUAUCUUCGUCCUAGAUUAGAAAAUACUAUUUUUAUUUUUGAUCCUUCGUAGUUUUCAUAUAUUUUUUCAUCUAUUAUAAAUUCUUCUUUAUUCAUUUUAUUGUGAAUAGGUCAUGUUGAUAUACAUAUUCUAAACUAUCUAUUUGUGAUUCUAAUUUUGAUAUUUCAUCUUUUUGUGUAUCUAUUGAAUUUUUACUAACUCCGGCAAAUAUAUUAUAAUGUAGUCUUUCUAUUCUUAUUUUUAAUUCUUUACGUUUUUCAGAGAUAAUUUGUCUUAAUUCUUUAUAUUGUUGUAUUUUAUUCAUUUUAAAUUAUAUUUAUAAUAUCUCGGUGGAUAUCUAAAUCUAAUUUUAUCAUAAUUAGGUGGUAUAUGUUUCAUUCUUCUAGAUUUUAAAUGUGUUAUUAAUUUUGAUUCAAUACUAGAUAUUAAUGUAAUUAAGUAGGCUAGUUUUUGUGGAUUUUCUUUUGUUUUAUUUAGACUUAUAUAUUCUGAAUAAUUACUAAUUAAAGAUUCUUUAAUUUUUCUAAAAGCUUCUCUAUUUUUAAAUGGUCUUCGCAUAAUUAAUUAAUUAUAAGUAAAUUGUUUUAACUCUAAAUCUAAUUUUGACUCUAACAUAAUUUUGACUCUAACUAUUACUUUUUUGUAUAUAUUGUUUUUCUAAUAAUUCAUCUAUGUGCAUUUUAAAUUCUUUUAAAUCAUCAAAAUUAUAUGUUAAUGGUUUUUGUGUUAUUAUGCUAUUCUUAUCUAUUAAUUCAAUUUUUAUAGUAGUUUUGUGUUUUUCCCAUCCUUUUAAUGGAUCUUCACUAUAUAAUUGUUCUAAUUUUUUCUGAAUUAUUUCUAUUUUAUUUAUUGAAAAUAUAGUUAUUUCUGUUUUAUUUAUCGAAAAUACUACUAGUUCUACUGUAUCUUCAGUAUUUUUUAUAUUUUCUAACUUUUGUGUAAUUUUUUCACUUCCUUUUAUCCAAUCAGUUUUCUUUCUUAUUUUAUUAUUAACUCUUUUUGCUCUUACUUUUUGUUUGCAUGGUGUUGUAAACCACCAGUCUGUUUUGGUUAUUAUAUGUGGGUAUAAUUUAUCUAAAAAUGGCAUUCCUAAAAGUAUAUCUUUUGAUGUUAAUUCAUAGUUAUAAAUUUCUUCUAUUGUUAAUAUCUUAUCCCAUACUUGUAUUUUUACAUUCCUAGCUUUAUAAGUAAUUAAGCUUCCUUCAUUAUUAAAUCCUUUAACUAUUAUUGGUGUUUUUAGUUUAUCCCAUUUGCUUUCUGGUAAGCAAUUAUAUCUACAUAAAUUAGCUUCUGCUCCUGUAUCUAUCAUAGGCGUAUAAUAUCUACUGUAAUAUCCUUCUACUACUAUCUUCAUUAAUACAUGUAUCUUCAUUUCAUGUUAAGGCUCUUUUUAAGAAUAACUUUUCUUGGUUAUAUGUUAAGGUUAAUUGUGUAUGUUCUAUAUUAUAUGGUUUUACUUGUUCUAACCAUUUUAUUCCUAAUAUUAUAUCUGCUUUUUGCAUUUCUUCUUUUACUUCGAAUUCUAUUUUUAUUUUUCUAACUCCUAAUAUUAUUUCUUUUUCUGCUAGAUUUUUAUUAUUUAUUAAACUUCUUGGUAAGUCUGGGCAUAUAUUAUUGUCGGUUUUUAUUUCUUCAUUUUUUACUAGAUAUUUUGCUAUAUGAUUUUCUUCUUGUCCUGUAUUCAAAAGUAUUAAAUAUUCUUUUUCAUUUAUUUUUCCUGUUAUGUAAUAUUGGUUUAAAUUACUUAUUGAAUUUGUUUCAUAACUUGUUCUUUUUGAUGAGCUUGAUGAUUCUGGUUUUUCAUUAGCUAUUCUUUUUGUUGUACUUAUUCUAUCAUUUACUAUUUCUAAAUUUUCUUCUGUAUCUAUGUCUCUAUAGGUAUAAUCAUUAUAAUCUAUUGUUUUUACUAUUUGUUCGAAUGGGCUUUCUAUUUGUAUUUUGUUAAUCUUAUUUUUUCCUGUUAUUUUAUGUUUUGUUGUUAAUACAUAUAGAUUUUUACAUCUUGCUGUAAAUAUUUUACUUCCUGGGGUUAACUCUAUUCCUGAUAUUUUCCAAUAUAAUACUAGUGAUUUAUCUAUAUUCCUAUCUGUUACUGCUACUGAAUAAUUUGCACUUAUUAUAAAUUUAAAGUUGCCACUUCAGUUAA